rnacentral:rRNA from 1 species
AAAGAAACUAACUAGGAUUCCCUUAGUAACGGCGAGUGAACCGGGAUGAGCUCAAAUUUAAAAUCUGGCGUCUUUCAGGCGUCCGAGUUGUAAUCUAUAGAGGCGUUUUCCGCGCCGGACCGCGUCCAAGUCCCUUGGAAUAGGGUAUCAAAGAGGGUGACAAUCCCGUACUUGACGCGACGACCGGUGCUCUGUGAUACGUUCUCAACGAGUCGAGUUGUUUGGGAAUGCAGCUCUAAAUGGGUGGUAAAUUCCAUCUAAGGCUAAAUAUUGGCGAGAGACCGAUAGCGAACAAGUACCGUGAGGGAAAGAUGAAAAGCACUUUGGAAAGAGAGUUAAACAGCACGUGAAAUUGUUAAAAGGGAAACGAUUGAAGUCAGUCGUGUGGGAGGUAUUCAGCCGUCUCUGGCGGUGUAUUUGCCUCUCACGGGUCAACAUCAGUUUGAUCCGGUAGAAAAAGGCGGGAGGAAGGUGGCACCCUCGGGUGUGUUAUAGCCUCCUGUCACAUGUGCCGGACCAGACUG